UAGACUGGCGACCUGUCCAGGGUUUUACCUUUCCUUUCACCCAGAGUAGGCUGGGACCGAGUCCAGCCCUCCAGCCACCCGGGAUCAGCACUAUAGAUAUUGGAUGGCUGACAAAGCGGCAGGUGUGAGUCCUGCGCCUCCACUGAGGUUACUCCACUGUGGUGCAGUCAGCACUAGUGUUGGCGUGGUUCCUCCAGCUACCAAGCAAGCAACUGUGAAGAAACCCAAAUACUGACACUAGCAAGGCUGGACGUGGACCCAGAAACCUCAGACACAACCCACAGCAGGGUCACCUGUUGUUUAAGAUCAGCUGACAGGACCAGAGAUCCAUACAGCACUGGCCCAGCUCUGGGAGAUUUCAUUACCUACACCUGUUGUAUCUAUUUGGCCAAAGUGGAUCUGGAGGCUUUUCAAAACAGAGAUGAACUGUCUGGUUCGGCUGUGGUUCUUGGCUUGAGAAUUUGACAGGGAGGAUUUCCAGCUCCCUCGCCAUCUCUCUUUGGAAUGAAGAUGCCACCAGCUUUGGAAACACUACAUGAUCCAUCAAAUCCAUCCACACAACCUACUAACGAGACAAUGCAAGUUAAGGGACACCCCCCGCUGCUAUGUGGGCUGAGAGCUGCCACUACUGCUGACCCCUCUGUAUCAGGA